UCAGUGACCGUGAUUACAUCGAGUUUAUUAUAUUCCACCUAUAUUGUGUCGAUGCAGAUGCGACGCACGCCGCGUCACCGUAGCCCGCGCUCGAGGUGAGGCGGCCGCGGGCGCCGGGCGGGGUCAAUGUCGCGCUUGUUGCAUGUCUAAACAAAGAACAUUCUUAUAAACUAUUGCAAAAGUGUUCCACCUUUGAUCUCGUCAUCCUCACCUCUCGUGUUGCCGCCAACUGUGACAGCUUUGGAAUACCAUUUUGGGUACGAAUCAGUUUUGAUCGCCUUACAAGGGACAUAUUUAUUCCUAAGGUAGAGGAAAUACACCGGCGGCGGCGGCCGUGACACGCGGCGCCGGCGCGAUCGGAACCUGCGGCUUUAUUUAUCUAAUAUCAAUUUAAAUAGUCAUACUAUAUUUGACAGAUAAACAGAUUCAAGUGUGUUUCCGAGGUCAGAAUACAUUUUACAAUAAUUUAUUAUCUUGUGCGUCUCUAAAACUACUUACUUAUAAACGGUGCAGACCUUGAAAAUAUUCAAAUAACAAUCAUUCGAAAUUGAGUUACGAAAAUUGUACAAUUGUGUCUACAAAUUACUA